GGUGAAUGGUUCCCAAGUGCAAUAAAGACUAAACACCUUUCCCACGCUUGAGACCACUAAAUUCCUAAACAAUUAAAGUUUUGAUUAUGGGACAUUGGAGCAAUUCCGAGCAUCUCAAUUAAUUAUACGAAAUGCUUUUCUUCGGAAAAGUGUUUUGAAACUUUGAUCUGAAAUCAAGCAAGAAAACCCGCUGAACUUAA
rnacentral:misc_RNA from 1 species